GUAUAUAGGGGGGGGGGUCUGUCUGGCUAGACGACGUUGGCGGCGUGGAUUAGGCAUGCAAGUCGAGCGAAUCCCAGGCUCUCACCAUGCUCUCUGUAACUGACCUACAGCCUUGAUUGAUCAAGGACUGAAUCAGGUUGCAGAGGGUAAGGUGAGGGCCUGGGGGAAGCGGCGCAAGGGGCAGUAAUGCAUGGAUAACCUACCCUGGGGACGGGGAUAGCUCUUCUAACGAGGAGGUAAUACCCGAUGACGUGGCCGGUAGACACCUCUGGCCACCAAAUGAAUUUCGCCCUGGGAGGGGUUCAUGUGGUAUUAGCUUGUUGGUGAGGUAACGGCUCACCAAGGCAAAGAUGCCUAGCUGGUGUGAGAGCAUGACCAGCGCCACUGGGACUGAGACACUGCCCAGACUCCUACGGGAGGCUGCAGUCGAGGAUCUUCCACAAUGGGCGAAAGCCUGAUGGAGCGACGCCGCGUGUGCGAUGAAGGCCUUCGGGUUGUAAAGCACUGUCGAGGGGGAGAAAAGGAAACUUGAUCUACCCCUGGAGGAAGGACGGGCUAAGUUCGUGCCAGCAGCCGCGGUAAGACGAACCGUCCUAACGUUGUUCGGAAUCACUGGGCUUAAAGGGUGCGUAGGCGGCCCGCCAAGUGCUUUGUGAAAUCCCACAGCUCAACUGUGGAACAGCAGGGCAAACUGGCGGGCUUGAGGCAGGUAGGGGCCGGAAGAACAGUUGGUGGAGCGGUGAAAUGCGUAGAUAUCAACUGGAAUGCCGAUGGGGAAGCCGUCCGGCUGGGCCUGUCCUGACGCUGAGCACGAAAGCGUGGGGAGCAAACAGGAUUAGAUACCCUGGUAGUCCACGCCGUAAACGAUGUGCACUAGACUGGUGCGGUUUGACGCGUAUCAGUCGC
rnacentral:rRNA from 1 species